rnacentral:rRNA from 1 species
UAAUACAGAGGGGGCAAGCGUUGUUCGGAAUUACUGGGCGUAAAGGGCGCGUAGGCGGCCUGCUAAGUCGAACGUGAAAUCCCUGGGCUCAACCCAGGAACUGCGUCCGAUACUGGUUGGCUUGAAUCCGGGAGAGGGAUGUGGAAUUCCAGGUGUAGCGGUGAAAUGCGUAGAUAUCUGGAGGAACACCGGUGGCGAAGGCGACAUCCUGGACCGGUAUUGACGCUGAGGCGCGAAAGCCAGGGGAGCAAACGGGA